UCUGGCUGGGAUGAGAAUUACCAUCAUGGACCAAGAUGUUGAAGUGAAGACCACUUUUCCCUCCUGCAGAUGACUGUUUAAUUUAGCAAGUGUUUUACGAAAUACCUAAUUAUCAAAGCAAUGAACAGCUAUUUUAGAGAAGUUGGAAAACAUAGGAAAGCACAUUAAAAGAUGAAAAGUAUAUCUACCACCCUGUUCUUCAGAGCCCUAGCCACAGCUCUUCCCAAUAAAUCAGACUUUGUGGAGAAAAGAAAAUUGGAAGAAGGCACCCUAUCAUCCCAAAUCUGGCAUUUCACAUGUGCCACUUCCAGAGCAGCUGAAGUGACAACAGAAUGCUUGAAAGAACAGAAUUUGGAUCCCCAGAUGUUAAUACCACCUCCACCAUGAGCCUGGAUCAUGUGUCUGCAGACAAUCGCGGAACCUCUGGGCCUUUUAGAUGUAAUGAAGUCUUACAGAUGCCACCUGCAGCCUGGUUACUUAUGUAAUCUGGUGUUUUGGGAUAAUUUGUGAUGUGUUUCCAAACAAUUUUUAUCAAUGGAGGUAAAGGUACUGAUUCCAAAGCUGCUCCCAGGAUGACGGCCCUCACCGAGCCUGUGUUAUUUGUUGGUGAGGAGUGGUAGACUGCACAUGAUUGGAGCAGAAGAACUGAACAUGUGACCUGGCACCGCUGGGCACUUUUUAUGAGAACUUAAAAACUCAUACAAGCCCCUGGGCACACUUUUCUCAUUUGUCGUGUGUGGAUUUUGGUACUGGUUUUGAAGAGGAGCAGGGAGAGGAGGAGUUGAUAUUCUGUGGGUGUACAGUGGCGGUUAUGCAAGGUGCCUGAGUCUUAGAAAUCUGUAGAGCAGCAUUGUGCCUGGUGUUAACACAGCCUCAGACACUGAGUAUUCACUGGCAUGGGAGAGCUCAGGUUAAAUACUCUCAUACAAUAAAAUUCUAAAAAGUACUACAUUGAGAUGUGAGGGUGCUUAUGAAUUAUAAACACUUAGGCCAAGUUGGCUAUUAGAAUGAUACAUUGUAUGUAUUGUUGAAAAUGGGAAAAAUAACUUGAUUGAGACAUUUCAUCUUUUCUUUUGGAGUCAUUGUAAAUGUUAUUUUAAUUUCCAUUGAUAAAGUUAGCUUAAGGAUUUUAUAGGAUCUCACUCCAAGUCUUGAGAAUUAGCUUAAUUAUUGGGAUAAGGGUAUCAAUCAAAUGUUAGUAUUUUAAACUUAAAUGUGCUUCGUUAAUCUCUUAUAUAAGUACAUUUUCACCUUAAUGGGAUAAAGGUAGUUUUGACUUUAGAAUUUUGCUGCAGAAUGAGUCAAUUAAGUUUUUUUUUUUUUAUUUAGUAUGUACAAUAUCUUAGAAUACAUAAGUUGAUGAUGAACUUUUUAAUACAGGCAUCGAACAGUGGCUGGGAAAAUGUAGUAACUCAUAUUUGACCUCCUAUUUGGAGAGAACAUGGAGAGAGUUGGUUUGUCAAGGAGGCUCAGGGGCUUCUUGUUCACAAAUUCCUAAGGAAAUUUACUUUGUGCUGGGUCAUGAAGCUGUUCCUGGACCAAAUAUCAGGGUAGAAUUAAGUAUUUUUCUGAUAAUGCAUUACCUUCUGUUAUGCACUUGAAAGUCAUUAAAAUUAAUUAAUAUUGCAAUGCUAUUCAUUACAGAAGCUUAAGCUCUUAUGAUAGCAUUUUAUUAAGAUGGAUAUUUUAUGCUUUUACAUUUUUUGCUGUAAUAUUAUAUCAUACUCAAAAUUAGCUUUCAUCAAUCCUCAACUUUGUCAUGCCUUCAUGAAAAAGUAAAAUUUGAUUACAUUUUCUAGAGAUGAAGCUGAAUUUUGUUAAAUGACAAUGAACCUUUUUGGCAAUGUUUUUAAUUACUUUUGAGUUAACUCAGAAAUUUGUUUUAAGUACAUCUGUGCUAUUUUAUUAGAGUUUUUUCCCUCUCAGCAUGAGCAUGCUUGUAUUUAAUUUUAAAUGUGUAUUUACUUAUAGCUCUGGGAUAUGAAUAAUUAGAUUGAAUUUACAGGGUUCACUUAGUGCUGCAAAAAGAAGUGGGGGUAACACAUUAAGUAUGUACAGAAAACUCAUUUCCAACAUUCUCCAAUGUAAUUAACAACAAAAAUUCAUACUCCUACAGUGUGAGAACCAUAUGAUGUAAUUGAUCCUACACAGAA